UACGUAGGGGGCAAGCGUUAUCCGGAUUUACUGGGUGUAAAGGGAGCGUAGACGGUGCAGCAAGUCUGAUGUGAAAACCCGGGGCUCAACUCCGGGAUUGCAUUGGAAACUGUUGUACUUGAGUGCAGGAGAGGUAAGUGGAAUUCCUAGUGUAGCGGUGAAGUGCGUAGAUAUUAGGAGGAACACCGGCGCGAAGGGGGCUUACUGGACUGUAACUGACGUCGAGGCUCGAAAGCGUGGGGAGCAAACA
rnacentral:rRNA from 1 species